GUUCCGGUAGCGAAGAGGUCAAACGCGUUUGACUUCAAACUUCGGGUUCGGGGGUUCGAAUCCCUCCCGGAACA
rnacentral:tRNA from 1 species